CCCCCCCUUUUUUUAAGGAUUAGUUUUUCCUCUACCAUGAGACUUAUAAGAGAAGCAUGCAAGAGGGAAUAGGGUUGUUUGUGAUUAAAACUGCCUACCAGAAAUCUUUUGAAGAUUGCCUUGCUAAUUAGGCAUGCAGGGUGGAACUAGUCAUGCAAAUAGCCCUAUUUGCUUAUUUAUCUAUUUUUUUUUUGUAGCCUUUUACAUUGUGCCUAGGGUUUCUCCCACUUGGUUGUGCUAAAUUGCAGCACGCACGCACACACAAAAUGAUAUGGCCUGCAGCUGCUGAUCAACUCAAGCUGUGGGUUCCCAAUUUGUUACAAAAAAAUAUAUGUAAAUGCCUGUCCAUUUUCAGAGCUUUGCAGCAGCUGGUUUAGACACCAAGGACUGUCCCGCCAGUCACAAUUCCUCCUCUUUCUCCCCUCCCCUGCCCCCUAAUCUAAUAUACCCGUGUAAUGGGGAGUGUGAUCAUCUGUACCAUCAAAGUCAAUAUAGCAAUGCCUGACAUUGAUGGAGUAUAAAAUUCAUCGUGGUUGGUUGGCAAUUGCAUGGAAAUUAUCAACAGUUGGCACAGGAGUGGUUAAUAUCCCACCCUGCAGUUGCCUAGCAACCCCAGAGGGUUUUAUUUUAUUUUUCUCCACUCCCAUGAAAACUGCCGAAGAGAAAGGGCUGGCAUACCAACCAGCUGGCAUACCAUUUGCCUUAUGAGUAGGCUUCACUGAUGCAACGGUCUGGAAACUCUGGUACAUGAACAACAAAAAUAUGACUACAAGUCCUGAUGAAUUUUCUAAUUCGUCGGUUUCUUAUGAUGUGAGCUCUUACGGGUUGAAGUCCUUUUUUUCAGAGGCGUCAAGUGAAAUCUUUGAUUAAUCUCAUGCCAUAAUAAUAAAUUUGCUCACCUUUUACGUGUUGCGGGACUCUGUUGUUUUUGCUGUAGCAGGCAAACACAGUUACUGCUCGGGGGGGGGAUAAGCAUAGUAUAUGCUAUCUUGCUAUCUUACCACAAUAUCUUAAUAGUUUUAAAGGUAAAAGGACCCCUGACCAUUAGGUCCCGUUGUGGCUGACUCAGAGGAUGCGGCGCUCAUCUCGCUUUAUUGGCCGAGGGAGCCGGCGUACAGCUUCCGGGUCAUGUGGCCAGCAUGACUAAGCCGCUUCUGCCGAACCAGAGCAGCACACAGAAACGCCGUUUACCUUACCGCUGGAGCGGUACCUAUUUAUCUACUUCCACUUGAUGUGCUUUCAAACUGCUAGGUUGGCAGGAGCAAGGACUGAGCAACAGGAGCUCACCCCAUCGCGGGGAUUCGAACCGCCGACCUUCUGAUCGGCAAGCCCUAGGCUCUGUGGUUUAACCCACAGUGCCACCCGCGUCCCUUCUUAAUAGUUUUACAUUAAUAGUUUUACAUUUAAGCAAAAUGUUUAGCUCUCAUAAUUGCAAAGAAGGCUUGAAUGUGUGCACUUUUUGCAGCCAGGGGAAUUCUAAUACACCUGGUAGUAAAGCAGUUGUUACCACUUUGCUCAGUAUAUGCCAUAUCAUGCGACAAAGAUGGGGAACAUAGAAACAUAGAGUUGGACCCCAGGGGUCACCUAGUCCUAUGCCCUGCAAUGCAGGUAUCUCAGCUAAAGCAUCCAUGACAGAUAGCCAACAUGUUGCCCGCUCCCUACAGAUGUUGUAGUGCAUCAACAUCUGGUGGGCAACAGGCUCUCUAUUCAUGCCUGUGCUCAGGCCCUGCCCCUCGCAGUUGUAAUAUUAGUAUUGAAAUCCAUGUCUCCUUUUCUGAUCUGUGAGCACUGUGUUGAAACAGAAAUUCAAGAUUUUGAAAGAGAAGGGAGCUCAUCAAUCUGCAAAUUAAGUACGCGGUCAAGGUAGGGCUUUUAACUGCACAUUAGGGUUUUCCGCCUAGAAAUAUGGACCCCCAUGUCCGUAUUUGAUGAUAUCACAUACGUAUAAUUUUCUGCUUGCUUCAUUUGGGACUUUGCUUAAGGAAACAGCUUAAGGCUGGGAAGAAAGAGAUAUUGAACGGAAGCCCAUAUGGCUUGAAAUCAAAACGCCGAAUCUCUCGUUUUGUGCACUUCUGGCAUAAAUAAGGCCUUGUUCAGCUCAUUGGCAUCAGCGGGAUUUGGGUUUCUGUUCUUGUAUUCUUUAGUUUAAGAAAUCAAAGUACACCUCAGGGUGGUUGGAAACGGAAGAUCAAACGAGAAAGCUGUCCUGUGCAACUCUGAUGUGGAGCCACUGAGGAUUUCUCUAGCUAGUUUUGCCUCUGAGCUGCAAUAUUUUGCAUUGUAGGUUUAUGAAUAAGUACUCCAAUGACACACCAGUUAUUUCCUAAAUUGGCAUUCGCACAGUGGGUUAGUUAAGAAAUGGUAUGAGAUUUUAGGUCGGCCAGCCUGUGCUCUCUGAUGUAGAGUUCAUUGCAAAAAAAUCAUCAUCAUCAUCAUCCAGGGGCAGAUUCAAUUUCUGAAACUUUUAACUCAGUCCUCCAAACCAGCUUUUCUUAAUCUGGUGCCCUUCAGAUGUUCGACUGCAACAUCCACCAUGCUCAGCCAGCAUGACCAGUGGUUAGGGAUGAUGGGGUUUGUAAUCCAUCACACCUGGGAGAGCACCAGAUUGGGGAAGUGUUCUCCAACAGAAACACAGGCAGGGUUUGCAGGCAGCAGAUUUGCACGAUGAAUUUGGGUCAGAGGUUAUCAAAAUAUGCUUCCCUGUGUUGAUAUUAAAAAAUAAAAUUAAAGAAUCCUGUUCCAGCUUCCCCGCAUGAUUGACAAACACAGAUUGGUCAUCUGGCAGUAAUACUCUGUAUUGAUCUAGAGUACGUUGCCUUUAAUGAAAUGGGUAAGAAUCAAGACAAUUUAUUUGGUUUAUUUUAUUCAUAACCUGAUUUCUCCAGGGCCUUGAGGUAGGUGGCAACCUCAAAAUGAAAACGAAGCAAAAAGCAAUCCAACUAGCAAGCAGAUGUAUUAAAUAUAUUUAAUAUUUACUGUAUUAAAUAUCACUUAGCAAACCACUGCCACCCAGUCUCAACCCUUGAGAAGCUUUGCAUGCCAGGCCACAAUCUUAACACUUCGUCAUGAUUCAGCAAGUAUUUUCCCACUUAAACUUCGUUAGGCAGAGGUCGCAUUUUCAGUAUGAGCUUAGGUGAUAAUUCACACCUUUACUUUGCAUGUGGGCUCCAGCAAUGUGAGUUAAUUUUUACAACACAAAUAAAUACAAAUUUGACACUUAUUCCGGUCUCAUUUGCCACAGGCAAAAGAGAACCUGUUGAAUAGCUAAGGGGAGCUGAGCAUAUUUGUUGCUGUUCUGCUGCGCAUGAUUGAUGCCUCUUAAGUGAAUUGC